AGGAUGAACGCUGGCGGCGUGCCUAACACAUGCAAGUCGAACGUCCUGUCUCGCAAGAGGCAGGGAGUGGCGGACGGGUGAGUACCACGUGGGUCAUCUACCGUGAGGUGAGGAAUACCGGCGAGAAAUCGCCGACAAGACCGCAUAGGCUCGAUGCAAGUCGAGCAAAGCUCUUUCGAGAGAGGGAGCGCCACACGAGGAGCCUGCGCCCGAUUAGCUAGCUGGUGGAGUAACGGUUCACCAGGGCGACGAUCGGUAGCUGGUCUGAGAGGACGAAUCAGCCACACUGGGAUUGAGAACGGCCCAGACUCCUACGGGGGGCAGCAGUGAGGAAUUUUCGUCAAUGGGGGCAACCCUGAACGAGCAACGCCGCGUGCAGGAAGAAGGUUUUCGGAUCGUAAACUGCUUUUCUCGGGGACGAGCAAGGACGGUACCCGAGGAAGAAGCCCCGGCUAACUACGUGCCAGCAGCCGCGGU
rnacentral:rRNA from 1 species